AUAUGUAUGUGUACAUGUACAUAUAUAUAUCUUUAUGUAUGCAUGUAUACAUACAUACAUAUACACACAUUAUAAAGAAGAAACCAA
rnacentral:miRNA from 12 species